AUUGAACGCUGGCGGAAUGCUUUACACAUGCAAGUCGAACGGCAGCACGGGGGCAGCCCUGGUGGCGAGUGGCGAACGGGUGAGUAAUACAUCGGAACGUGCCCGGUCGUGGGGGAUAACGUAGCGAAAGUUACGCUAAUACCGCAUACGAUCUGAGGAUGAAAGCGGGGGACCUUCGGGCCUCGCGCGAUCGGAGCGGCCGAUGUCAGAUUAGGUAGUUGGUGGGGUAAAGGCCUACCAAGCCGACGAUCUGUAGCUGGUCUGAGAGGACGGCCAGCCACACUGGAACUGAGACACGGCCCAGACUCCUACGGGAGGCAGCAGUGGGGAAUUUUGGACAAUGGGCGCAAGCCUGAUCCAGCCAUUCCGCGUGCAGGACGAAGGCCUUCGGGUUGUAAACUGCUUUUGUACGGAACGAAAAGGCUCUGGCUAAUACCUGGGGCUCAUGACGGUACCGUAAGAAUAAGCACCGGCUAACUACGUG
rnacentral:rRNA from 1 species